rnacentral:rRNA from 1 species
GACGAACGCUGGCGGCGUGCUUAACACAUGCAAGUCGAGCGGUAAGGCCCUUUCGGGGGUACACGAGCGGCGAACGGGUGAGUAACACGUGGGUGACCUGCCCUCAGCUCUGGGAUAAGCCUGGGAAACCGGGUCUAAUACUGGAUAUGACUCCAUGACGCAUGUUGUGGGGUGGAAAGCCUUGUGCGGCUGAGGAUGGGCCCGCGGCCUAUCAGCUUGUUGGUGGGGUGAUGGCCUACCAAGGCGACGACGGGUAGCCGGCCUGAGAGGGCGACCGGCCACACUGGGACUGAGACACGGCCCAGACUCCUACGGGAGGGCAGCAGUGGGGAAUCUUGCGCAAUGGGCGAAAGCCUGACGCAGCGACG